UACGGAGAGUGCAAACGUUGUUCGGAUUCACUGGGCGUAAAGGGCACGUAGGCGGCCCGGCAAAUCGAUCGUGGAAUACCGACGCUUACCGUCGGUGCGGCGGUCGAAAAUACCGGGCUCGAGGGCGUGAGGGGUCGCUGGAACUCCUGGUGGAGCGGUGAAAUGCGUAGAUAUCAGGAGGAACGCCGGAGGCGAAAGCGAGCGACUGGCGCGUUCCUGACGCUGAGGUGCGAAAGCUGGGGGAGCAAACAGG
rnacentral:rRNA from 1 species